GAAAGGGGGACUAAUACCGGCUAUAUUCGUACCUGCCGGGGUAUGAAGGAAAGGUGGCCUCUAUUUAUAAGCUAUCACACGGGGAGGAGUCUGCGUACCAUUAGCUAGUUGGUGAGGUAACGGCUUACCAAGGCGACGAUGGUUAGCGGGUCUGAGAGGAUGAUCCGUCACACUGGCACUGGAAUACGGGCCAGACUCCUACGGGAGGCAGCAGUGAGGAAUAUUGCGCAAUGGGGGAAACCCUGACGCAGCGACGCCGCGUGAGUGAGGAAGGCCUUCGGGUCGUAAAGCUCUGUCAGCAGGGAAGAAAUGCAUAAUGGUUAAUACCCGUUAUGUUUGACGGUACCUGCAAAGGAAGCACCGGCUAACUCCGUGCCAGCAGCCGCGGUAAUACGGAGGGUGCGAGCGUUGUUCGGAAUCACUGGGCGUAAAGGGCGCGCAGGCGGUUUUAUUAGUCAGAUGUGAAAGCCCACGGCUCAACCGUGGAAGUGCAUUUGAAACUGUAAGACUUGAGUAUCAGAGGGGAAGGUGGAAUUCCCGGUGUAGAGGUGAAAUUCGUAGAUAUCGGGAGGA
rnacentral:rRNA from 1 species